GGUCCCGUAGCUCAGCGGAUAGAGCCGCAGUUUCCUAAACUGUGGGUCGGAGGUUCGAGUCCUCUCGGGGCCA
rnacentral:tRNA from 1 species